GCAAAAGGCCCCAGCAGUGAGACCAGUUUAGUUGGCAAUCUCUUUGCAAGAGAUAACAAGCAAUUUUUCUGUUUUACAAAUGCAUUGAUCAAAAUAUCUUGAGAGGGCGUUUUGCUGGAAAAGAGAGCCCUGACUUUGCCUGGUGUUUUAAUGCUGAAUCUGGACAAUUUCACACCCUCUCAUACUGGAUAAUGGCAUGCUUAUUGCAACCCAAAUUGAUUUUUGUAUCCUGUCAAACACAUAAGGCAAUUAAUUAAUCAGUUGAUGCAAUUUCAUCAAACUGCUUUCAGCUUGUGGUGUUUUUGAGUAAAAUGCCA